UGAAAUUUAUUUUUCCACUGUUUUAAAUCGAAAAAAGGCUUAAAAGCCCCUAAAAUACGACAUUUGGCAACGAUUAACCACAAGGGAGAUAAGAAACUGAUACGAAAGCCUUGUGAGGUCUUGAUAUGGUAUCCGGGGGAUGAGUGCCUAUCAAGACAUCGCGGCGGUUGUCACGGACUGAAGGAUCGUUCCGGGUCGUGACACAUGUUGUACAGAGUACGAGUUUGCUUUUGAUAAGAUGAUGUUCACAACUUUCAACGAUGAAAGAGUUCAUUCCGUUACAUGCAAGUGGGUGAAUGUCGGAUGUGGGUCCAAUUUUUAUACCCAUGUCAAGUAGAUUGAUCGUCAUCCGCAAAAUCCAAAAAUAUCUAAAUGUUAAAUAAACUUCUAAAUUAUCUCAAAUUUUUCAAAAGAAAUCUCAUUUUUUUAUUAUAAAUAAGUCCUUAUUUUACAAUUUAUGUUCAAAUAAACCUUUAUGUCAACAAAAAUAUGUCAUGUGACAUUAACGGGCAUUAAGUUCAUCGUUUAGCCACUAUCUUCUACACUUAUGACAAAUGAUGUGGCUUUCUCAACGUAGUAAAUUUGACUAAUUAGAAUGACAAUGUUUUAGAUGGAAAUCUCUCCCAUUCAACCAAUUUCACCACAUCAAGAAAGUCACAUCAAUGUUCAUAUAUGCAAAAAAUCCUAAUUGACUAUGGAUCUAACGAUCGUUAAGGUCACAUAAUACACAUAAUAUGUUUUUGUCAAAAAGUUGCAAAAGCAUUUUACACAUUGGUGGUGUUUGACACUUUACAAUGUAAUAUAAUUACAAGUAAUGUGAUUGCAAGUAAUGUAAUUGCAAGCAAUGUGAUUGCAAGGAAGAU
rnacentral:lncRNA from 1 species